UUAAAAAAAUGUUUUUUUAAUAAAAAAUUUAAAAAGGUGGAAUUUUUCUGGUUCCUGAUAUAAGUGAUUUUCAAUUGUAUCUUGGACAUUUUUCAUAUUAUGAGAUCCUGGAUCAUAUUGCAAUCCUCUGUUUUAGCAGGCGUCCUGUGACACCACAGCAGUGGAAGAAGGGUGGUGAUGCUUUAUCACUGGCAGAUGGUACAGAAGUUCAGAUUCCCCACUUGGCCUCCACUGAACCUUGAGAUUGGAAGCAGAAGAGCAUCUCGCUGUUGCUGGGUGCAGUGUGGACGAAGGGUUGCAGAUACAUGAGAAGUGGUGAAGCAGAUGAAGAGGAAUGGGGCAUAACGUGUGUCCCAAGAAGAGGCAACACCGUGUUUGGAAGCUCAGAAGUCAAGGAGAAUGCGGUGCAUUCAAGAAACCAGCUGGUUCUCACACAACACAAUGCUGAAGUGCAAGCUUUGACUUUAAGGGACUUCUUUGGCUGAGAGAGGAAAUGAAAAGAUGUAACAUUGAAGAGAGCGGAGUAUUCUACGGAAGCAGGUGUGAGGCACUACCCAAGCAAAGACAAGAAUGAGGAGCCAGAGAAUUGAGAAGGAAGGCUGGAAUGAGCUCCAGGACGUCAAACAUAGAAGGAUGGGGGUCCUCCUGAUAACUGACUUCCCUCAAGUUUUUAUCUCCUGGACUUGUCCAUGCUGAGCCUCUCGUAAUUCAUCAAUGACAGUUCAGCUUUCCCUACCCUGACACUGAUUUCCCAUGGAGGUUUCUGCUUUGGUAAGUCCUCUGUAUCUACCUGUCAUUCUCUCCAAUUUGGGGAUGAAGCAUAGAGUGCCUAUAUGAGCAGUCCCCCAGAAAAAUCUGUGCUAAUGAGCUUUCUUGGGAGACAACAUCUUACAUGCGUUGUCACAACUCAUUACUGGAAGAAUUAAACAUGUCCUGUGUGACUGUACUAGAAGAUUCUUGAAAGCUCACCAGUCUGCCCAGUGACUUCCCUUCUCUAAGGAAUCUAAAGAGAAUUGUUGAUUUUUUAGUUUGCUCAGCUUUUCAGUUUUUAUUGGGAUGGAGUGAGCAUUUCCACGCUUCCUAGAAACAGUACUGGACAGCAGAAGUUCUCAAGCAUCUUUUAGAAAUGAGAAAUACUGAGACUAAAACCUGUUCCUUUUCUUCCUCUGUCUGUAGAUUUAUAGCAGCUAUAAUCACCAGUGCAAGAAUUGAUUCAUAGAGGAAUCUGUAUGUAGUAAGAUAAUCUUGAUGUAAAACAUAUUUGAGGCAUGUUAGAUGCUAGGAUUUGAGACAUUACAAUGUAAUAGUAAACUGUAUGACUUCUGGAGGCAAAUAUACUGUGAUACUGGCUCUUGCCAUAUAUGAUCUGUAGGGUCCUGAGCAAGAUAUUAAUGUAUUUGAGUUUCAGUUUUACAUCUUUUAUUUAUUUAUUUUUUUAAUGUUUUAUUUAUUCUUGAGAGAGAGAG